rnacentral:rRNA from 1 species
AUUGAACGCUGGCGGCAGUCCUAACACAUGCAAGUCGAGCGAGCGGCUGACGGGUGAGUAAUGUCUGGUAAACUGCCUGAUGGAGGGGGAUCACUCCUUGAAACGGUAGCUAAUACCGCAUACCCUCAGAUGUGCCCAGAUAGGAUUAGCUGUUAGUUUGGGUAACGGCUCACCUAGGCGACGAUCUCUAGCUGGUCUGAGAGGAUGACCAGCCACACUGGAAAUGAGACACGGUCCAGACUCCUACGGGAGGCAGCAGGGGGGAAUAUUGCACAAUGGGCGCAAGCCUGAUGCAGCCAUGCCGCGUGUGUGAAGAAGGCCUUCGGGUUGUAAAGCACUUUCAGCGGGGAGGCGUUAACCGCAGAAGAAGCACCGGCUAACUCCGUGCCAGCAGCCGCGGUAAUAC